rnacentral:rRNA from 1 species
GGCAGGCCUAACACAUGCAAGUCGAACGGUAACAGGAAGCAGCUUGCUGCUUUGCUGACGAGUGGCGGACGGGUGAGUAAUGUCUGGGAAACUGCCUGAUGGAGGGGGAUAACUACUGGAAACGGUGGCUAAUACCGCAUAACGUCGCAAGACCAAAGAGGGGGACCUUCGGGCCUCUUGCCAUCAGAUGUGCCCAGAUGGGAUUAGCUAGUUGGUGAGGUAACGGCUCACCAAGGCGACGAUCCCUAGCUGGUCUGAGAGGAUGACCAGCCACACUGGAACUGAGACACGGUCCAGACUCCUACGGGAGGCAGCAGUGGGGAAUAUUGCACAAUGGGCGCAAGCCUGAUGCAGCCAUGCCGCGUGUAUGAAGAAGGCCUUCGGGUUGUAAAGUACUUUCAGCGGGGAGGAGGGUGAUGUGGUUAAUAACCACAGUAAUUGACGUUACCCGCAGAAGAAGCACCGGCUAACUCCGUGCCAGCAGCCGCGGUAAUACGGAGGGUGCAAGCGUUAAUCGGAAUUACUGGGCGUAAAGCGCACGCAGGCGGUCUGUCAAGUCGGAUGUGAAAUCCCCGGGCUCAACCUGGGAACUGCAUUCGAAACUGGCAGGCUUGAGUCUUGUAGAGGGGGGUAGAAUUCCAGGUGUAGCGGUGAAAUGCGUAGAGAUCUGGAGGAAUACCAGUGGCGAAGGCGGCCCCCUGGACAAAGACUGACGCUCAGGUGCGAAAGCGUGGGGAGCAAACAGGAUUAGAUACCCUGGUAGUCCACGCCGUAAACGAUGUCUACUUGGAGGUUGUGCCCUUGAGGCGUGGCUUCCGGAGCUAACGCGUUAAGUAGACCGCCUGGGGAGUACGGCCGCAAGGUUAAAACUCAAAUGAAUUGACGGGGGCCCGCACAAGCGGUGGAGCAUGUGGUUUAAUUCGAUGCAACGCGAAGAACCUUACCUGGUCUUGACAUCCACGGAAGUUUUCAGAGAUGAGAAUGUGCCUUCGGGAACCGUGAGACAGGUGCUGCAUGGCUGUCGUCAGCUCGUGUUGUGAAAUGUUGGGUUAAGUCCCGCAACGAGCGCAACCCUUAUCCUUUGUUGCCAGCGGUCCGGCCGGGAACUCAAAGGAGACUGCCAGUGAUAAACUGGAGGAAGGUGGGGAUGACGUCAAGUCAUCAUGGCCCUUACGACCAGGGCUACACACGUGCUACAAUGGCGCAUACAAAGAGAAGCGACCUCGCGAGAGCAAGCGGACCUCAUAAAGUGCGUCGUAGUCCGGAUUGGAGUCUGCAACUCGACUCCAUGAAGUCGGAAUCGCUAGUAAUCGUGGAUCAGAAUGCCACGGUGAAUACGUUCCCGGGCCUUGUACACACCGCCCGUCACACCAUGGGAGUGGGUUGCAAAAGAAGUAGGUAGCUUAACCUUCGGGAGGGCGCUUACCACUUUGUGAUCC